GUCUCACCGGAUGUGAGAACAAGACAAGGGGCAUAGUGCCGCCGAUGCCGAUGCCUCCUAACACAACUGUCUCCCUGCUCGACGCUUGCUCCAGGCGCCUCCCGCCCAGCGGCCUAGGCCCGGCCGGUUGCCGCCGCGCUUCCAACAACCUGCCAAUCCACAAGGCGCCUGCCGCCCCUACCCGGCAACCCCGACUUGCUGGUAGGCGGCGAUGCCUUAUCAGCUCAACUCCUUGGCUCGCCGGUGCCGUCACAACAUUAAGCAAGGAGGCAGAAGGCCAGGAGCAGCCGGCCCGAGCAUAUCAAGACCAGCCCCUUUAGGACCUUGAUCAACGACCAGAGAUCACUGAGUUUUUCGGUAUCUCUUAUUAUUCUCAAAGAGCAAUUUUACGGGACUUGAGGAGAUAUCAUGAGGAUCAAGAUCCAUAACUACAAUUGAAGAGCUAAGGACAGUAUAAUAUUAUGCUUAGAGGAAGCUAACCUAUAACAAGGUAUUUGUAUUUAUGUAACAAACCACAAUUAAAUUUGUAUUGUAUCUUUUUAUCAUGCAUUAAGGAAUAUCCUGUGUCGCUGCUA